rnacentral:rRNA from 1 species
UACGAAGGGGGCGAGCGUUGUUCGGAUUUACUGGGCGUAAAGGGCGCGCAGGCGGCGAGUUUUGUCAGGCGUGAACGCCCCGGGCUCAACCUGGGCACUGCGCUUGAAACGGGCUUGCUAGAGAUCGGGAGAGGAGAGUGGAAUUCCCAGUGGAGAGGUGAAAUGCGUAGAUAUUGGGAAGAACACCAGUGGCGAAGGCGGCUCUCUGGACCGACACUGACGCUGAGGCGCGAAAGCGUGGGGAGCAAACAGG